AGCAGCCGCGGUAAUUCCAGCUCCAAUAGCGUAUAUUAAAGUUGUUGCAGUUAAAAAGCUCGUAGUUGAAUUUCGGGAUCAAUAUGUUGGUCGUGCCUCGGUACGUACUAGCUUAUUGGUUUCUCCUUUCUGAAGAACCAUGAUGUCAUUUAUUUGGUGUCGUGGGGAAUCAGGACUGUUACUUUGAAAAAAUUGAGUGUUUAAAGCAGGCUCACGCUUGAAUACAUUAGCAUGGAAUAAUGAAAUAGGACGUUCGAACCUAUUUUGUUGGUUUCUAGGAUUCAACGUAAUGAUUAAUAGGGAUAGUUGGGGGCAUUAGUAUUCAAUUGUCAGAGGUGAAAUUCUUGGAUUUAUUGAAGACUAACUACUGCGAAAGCAUUUGCCAAGGAUGUUUUCAUUAAUCAAGAACGAAAGUUAGGGAUCGAAGACGAUCAGAUACCGUCGUAGUCUUAACCAUAAAACUAUGCCGACUAGGGAUCGGAUGAUGUUAAUUUUUAUGUACUUCAUUCGGCGCCUUACG
rnacentral:rRNA from 1 species